rnacentral:rRNA from 1 species
GAGAGGAACUUGUUCCUCGAGUCGUUGAUUUCACACUGCCGAGAAAAGCCUCUAGCUAGAAUAACGGUGCCCGUACCGCAAACCGACACAGGUAGUCAAGAUGAGAAUUCUAAGGUGAGCGAGCGAACUCUCGUUAAGGAACUCGGCAAAAUGACCCCGUAACUUCGGGAGAAGGGGUGCUCUUUGAGGUUCACGCUUCGAAGAGCCGCAGUGAAUAGGCCCAAGCGACUGUUUAUCAAAAACACAGGUCUCUGCUAAACCGUAAGGUGACGUAUAGGGGCUGACGCCUGCCCGGUGCUGGAAGGUUAAGAGGAGUGGUUAGCGCAAGCGAAGCUACGAAUCGAAGCCCCAGUAAACGGCGGCCGUAACUAUAACGGUCCUAAGGUAGCGAAAUUCCUUGUCGGGUAAGUUCCGACCCGCACGAAAGGCGUAACGAUUUGGGCACUGUCUCAACGAGAGACUCGGUGAAAUCAUAGUACCGGUGAAGAUGCCGGUUACCCGCGACAGGACGGAAAGACCCCGUGGAGCUUUACUGUAGCCUGAUAUUGAAAUUCGGUACAGUUUGUACAGGAUAGGUAGGAGCCUUAGAAGCGUGAGCGCUAGCUUACGUGGAGGCAUUGGUGGGAUACUACCCUAAUUGUAUUGGAUUUCUAACCCGCAGCACUUAUCGUGCUGGGAGACAGUGUCAGGCGGGCAGUUUGACUGGGGCGGUCGCCUCCUAAAGAGUAACGGAGGCGCUCAAAGGUUCCCUCAGAAUGGUUGGAAAUCAUUCAUAGAGUGUAAAGGCAUAAGGGAGCUUGACUGCGAGACCUACAAGUCGAGCAGGGUCGAAAGACGGACUUAGUGAUCCGGUGGUUCCGCAUGGAAGGGCCAUCGCUCAACGGAUAAAAGCUACCCCGGGGAUAACAGGCUUAUCUCCCCCAAGAGUUCACAUCGACGGGGAGGUUUGGCACCUCGAUGUCGGCUCAUCGCAUCCUGGGGCUGUAGUCGGUCCCAAGGGUUGGGCUGUUCGCCCAUUAAAGCGGUACGCGAGCUGGGUUCAGAACGUCGUGAGACAGUUCGGUCCCUAUCCGUCGUGGGCGUAGGAAAUUUGAGAGGAGCUGUCCUUAGUACGAGAGGACCGGGAUGGACAUACCUCUGGUGUACCAGUUGUCGUGCCAACGGCAUAGCUGGGUAGCUAUGUAUGGACGGGAUAAGUGCUGAAAGCAUCUAAGCAUGAAGCCCCCCUCGAGAUGAGAUUUCCCAACUUCGGUUAUAAGAUCCCUCAAAGAUGAUGAGGUGAAUAGGUUCGAGGUGGAAGCGUAGCGAUACGUGGAGCUGACGAAUACUAAUCGAUCGAAGACUUAAUCAA